AUUCCGUGAUUAGGGCAUUUUCUGAUUAAGUCGUUGAAUCUCUCCCACGCUUCAUAAAGAGAUUCAUUGUCUUGUUGGAUGAAGUUGUUGAUUUAAGAUCUCAGCUU